UGCCCCCAGGGACGUAAACGUCCCUGACGUCUCUGAUGCGGGCGCUACGGUCACGUGGAAGGAACCGGACUGUGCUCUUAGUCACGGCGCUAUUAAGGGCUACAAACUAAAGCUGAGGAUGAACGCACCGCAGAAAGGACCGGAUCGUGCGUACAACAUCACGGUGACAUCUAUCACCUUCAACGGGCUCAGUCCCUUCACCAACUACAGUUUAGAGCUGUCCGCAUGGAACACAGCAGGGGACGGACCUGCAGUCUUCGCAGUAUUCAGGACAGGACCUUCCGUGCCUAACGCGCCGACGAACCUGACGUCGCACAGCGCAUCGAGCACAUCGAUCGCCAUCUCGUGGCUUCCACCGAAACCGCUUACGGGAACGUUACAGCGUUAUCGUGUAUACUACAGGACGUCAGAACAUGCGGAGUCCACCAUUGACAAGAUUCCUGCACCAGCAUACUGUAAUGCGACAACGCGCUCCGGACGGCAGUGCUUCGCCAUCCAAGACCUCACGCCUAACACUAGAUAUCACGUUUUUGUGACUGCCAAGAACGAGCUCGUUGACCAAUGGAGCAAGCCAAGCAACGAGAUUACUGUGACAACACAAAGUGCUGGUGAGG